rnacentral:rRNA from 1 species
UACGUAGGGUGCAAGCGUUGUCCGGAAUUAUUGGGCGUAAAGAGCUCGUAGGCGGUUUGUCGCGUCUGCUGUGAAAACGCGAGGCUCAACCUCGCGCCUGCAGUGGGUACGGGCAGACUAGGGUGCGGUAGGGGAGAUUGGAAUUCCUGGUGUAGCGGUGGAAUGCGCAGAUAUCAGGAGGAACACCGAUGGCGAAGGCAGAUCUCUGGGCCGUAACUGACGCUGAGGAGCGAAAGCGUGGGGAGCGAACAGG